rnacentral:tRNA from 3 species
AGCCCCGUGGUGUAGAGGUCAAUCAUCCGGGCCUUUGGAGCCCGGGACCGGGGUUCGAAUCCCCGCGGGGCUA